CUCCUUUUCUCAGCCUCUUCGUUUAUCAAGUUCCAAAAUCAACCAAAGCCUCAACUUUGAACACACCCAUUUGCAAUUUUGGUUGAAUGAUGAGAAAAAGCAGAGCAUGAUUGAAGACAUCUACAACACCAAGAAGCAGAAAAGGCGGAGAAAUAAUUGAAAGGGUUUUUUGGUAUUGGUAUUGGCGGAGGAAUUUGGGUUAGGGGAGAGAGUUGGAGAGAGAUUUAUGGGAGACCCUUCACUACUGUCAAACCAGUCCCCUCUAAUACUGAUGAAGAUAUUACUGUAUUAAUUGUUAAUCUGACACAAUCGGAUGAAGCAUGGAGUCGAAUAUUAUGUAUAUGAGAUUGUUCUGGUAUUGGACAGAUUGUUUUUCUUCUCUUUUAGUUUUAUACUCUUGCACAGAUUGUUUGUUCUCUCUUCCGUUAUUAUUAUUAUUAUUUUAUCUGAAUGCAACCAAAUGACCAAUCUUUGGAACUUUAGCAUAUUUUUUUAUAUAUGUUUUAUCUAAUUAUUAGGUGUCUAUGUGUUGGGAGGAACUGGAGCAUGACUAUGAGAAGAAGAAUGAAAAGCCACUUCAAUCUGCAUAUUUUAUAAUUUUAAUGAGAACCAAAACAGUCACAAUGAAUCAAAGAGUAGAUAUGCAAAACUUGAAAUCUUUGACUUUCAAUUCUUUUAUUCAUUUGUAUAUUAUACUAACUUGAAAUCUUAUGAUUUUGUGUUUAUUUGUGUCUUACACAUUACAAUUAGGUGUU